UGGGGGAUAUUGCACAAUGGGCGAAAGCCUGAUGCAGCAACGCCGCGUGAGUGAAGAAGGUUUUCGGAUCGUAAAACUCUGUUUUCAGGGACGAAUGUGCAGCUUGUAAAUAAUGAGUUGUAAUGACGGUACCUGAGUAGAAAGCCACGGCUAACUACGUGCCAGCAGCCGCGGUAAUACGUAGGUGGCAAGCGUUGUCCGGAAUUAUUGGGCGUAAAGCGCGCGCAGGUGGGAUAUUAAGUCUGGUGUUAAAGUUCGGGGCUCAACCCCGUGAAGCAUUUGGAAACUGAUAUUCUUGAGUGCAGGAGAGGAAAGUGGAAUUCCUAGUGUAGCGGUGAAAUGCGUAGAUAUUAGGAGGAACACCAGUGGCGAAGGCGACUUUCUGGACUGUGUCUGACACUGAGGCGCGAAAGCCAGGGUAGUGAACG
rnacentral:rRNA from 1 species